AUUCACUGCUAUAUAUCCUCCUCCCUAUUAUAGCAGUUUCGGGUUAGCGACCCUCCUCCCACGCUAGCCUGACAGAAAUAAUGCCCGUCACAUUUUCAUGUGGCGGGCAUUAUUC
rnacentral:sRNA from 1 species